AGAGCGAACGCUGGCGGCAUGCCUAACACAUGCAAGUCGAACGAGGCGCUUGCGCCUAGUGGCGAACGGGUGAGUAACACGUGAGCAACCUGCCCUUGGCUCUGGGAUAGCCUCCGGAAACGGGGAUUAAUACCGGACAUGACCUUCUCCUGCAUGGGGGAGGGUGGAAAGUUUUUCGGCCAGGGAGGGGCUCGCGGCCUAUCAGCUUGUUGGGGGGUAACGGCCCACCAAGGCGACGACGGGUA
rnacentral:rRNA from 1 species